rnacentral:rRNA from 1 species
AUUGAACGCUGGCGGCAUGCCUUACACAUGCAAGUCGAACGGCAGCACGGGAGCAAUCCUGGUGGCGAGUGGCGAACGGGUGAGUAAUAUAUCGGAACGUGCCCAGUCGUGGGGAUAACGUAGCGAAAGCUACGCUAAUACCGCAUACGAUCUACGGAUGAAAGCGGGGGAUCGCAAGACCUCGCGCGAUUGGAGCGGCCGAUAUCAGAUUAGGUAGUUGGUGAGGUAAAGGCUCACCAAGCCGACGAUCUGUAGCUGGUCUGAGAGGACGACCAGCCACACUGGGACUGAGACACGGCCCAGACU